AUUGAACGCUGGCGGCAUGCUUUACACAUGCAAGUCGAACGGCAGCGAGAGAGAAGCUUGCUUCUCUUGUCGGCGAGUGGCGGACGGGUGAGUAAUGCCUAGGAAUCUGCCUGGUAGUGGGGGACAACGUUUCGAAAGGAACGCUAAUACCGCAUACGUCCUACGGGAGAAAGUGGGGGAUCUUCGGACCUCACGCUAUCAGAUGAGCCUAGGUACGAUUAGCUAGUUGGUGAGGUAAAGGCUCACCAAGGCGACGAUCGUUAACUGGUCUGAGAGGAUGAUCAGUCACACUGGAACUGAGACACGGUCCAGACUCCUACGGGAGGCAGCAGUGGGGAAUAUUGGACAAUGGGCGAAAGCCUGAUCCAGCCAUGCCGCGUGUGUGAAGAAGGUCUUCGGAUUGUAAAGCACUUUAAGUUGGGAGGAAGGGCAGUAAGUUAAUACCUUGCUGUUUUGACGUUACCGACAGAAUAAGCACCGGCUAACUUCGUGCCAGCCGCCGCAGUAAAAC
rnacentral:rRNA from 1 species